GCCUGAGUGGCUCAGUCAGUUAAGUGUCUGACUUCGGCUCAGGUCAUGAUCUCACCAUCUGUGGGUUCGAGCCCCACGUCGGGCU
rnacentral:tRNA from 1 species